UACGGAGGGUGCAAGCGUUAUCCGGAUUCACUGGGUUUAAAGGGCGCGUAGGUGGGUCUGUAAGUCCGUGGUGAAAUCUCCGAGCUUAACUUGGAAACUGCCAUGGAUACUAUAGGUCUUGAAUAUUGUGGAGGUCAGCGGAAUAUGUCAUGUAGCGGUGAAAUGCUUAGAGAUGACAUAGAACACCAAUUGCGAAGGCAGCUGGCUACGCAUAUAUUGACACUGAGGCUCGAAAGCGUGGGGAUCAAACAGG
rnacentral:rRNA from 1 species